AGCGAACGCUGGCGGCAGGCUUAACACAUGCAAGUCGAGCGGGCAUCUUCGGAUGUCAGCGGCAGACGGGUGAGUAACACGGGGGAACGUACCCUUCGGUUCGGAACAACUCUGGGAAACUGGAGCUAAUACCGGAUACGCCCUUAUGGGGAAAGGUUUACUGCCGCAGGGUCGGCUCGCGUCUGAUUAGCUGGCUGGCGGGGUAAGGGCCUACCAAGGCGCCGAUCCGUAGCUGGGCUGAGAGGCUGAUCAGCCACACUGGGGCUGAGACGCGGCCGAGACUCCUACGGGAUGCAGCAGCGGGUAACAGUGGACAAUGGGCGCAAUCAUGAUCCAGCCAUGCCGCGUGAGUGAUGAAGGCCUUAGGGUUGUAAAGCUCUUUUGUCCGGGACGAUAAUGACGGUACCGGAAGAAUAAGCCCCGGCUAACUUCGUG
rnacentral:rRNA from 1 species